GAUGAAGAACGUAGCGAAAUGCGAUACUUGGUAUGAAUUGCAGAAUCCCGUGAACCAUCGAGUCUUUGAACGCAAGUUGCGCCCGAAGCCAUUAGGCCGAGGGCACGCCUGCCUGGGCGUCACACGUCGUUGCCCCCCCAUCUACUCCUUCGGGAUUGCGGGGAGCGGAUGAUGGCCUCCCGUGCGCCUUGUCGCGCGGUUGGCAUAAAUGCCAAGUCCUCGGCGACGCACGCCACGACAAUCGGUGGUUGCGAAACCUCGGUUGCCCGUCGUGUGCGGUCGUCGCGCAUCGAGGGCUCGAAAAAAUUGUCGGGCUCCGGCUCGGCUUUCAACGCGACCCCAGGUCAGGCGGGGUUACCCGCUGAAUUUAAGCAUAUCAAUAAGCGGAGGA
rnacentral:misc_RNA from 1 species